AUUGAACGCUGGCGGCAGGCUUAACACAUGCAAGUCGAGCGGGGUGAUGGUGCUUGCACUAUCACUUAGCGGCGGACGGGUGAGUAAUGCUUAGGAAUCUGCCUAUUAGUGGGGGACAACAUCUCGAAAGGGAUGCUAAUACCGCAUACGUCCUACGGGAGAAAGCAGGGGAUCACUUGUGACCUUGCGCUAAUAGAUGAGCCUGAGUCGGAUUAGCUAGUUGGUGGGGUAAAGGCCUACCAAGGCGACGAUCUGUAGCGGGUCUGAGAGGAUGAUCCGCCACACUGGGACUGAGACACGGCCCAGACUCCUACGGGAGGCAGCAGUGGGGAAUAUUGGACAAUGGGGGGAACCCUGAUCCAGCCAUGCCGCGUGUGUGAAGAAGGCCUUAUGGUUGUAAAGCACUUUAAGCGAGAAGGAGGCUCUUUUGGUUAAUACCCAAGAUGAGUGGACGUUACUCGCAGAAUAAGCACCGGCUAACUCUGUGCCAGCCGCCGCAGUAA
rnacentral:rRNA from 1 species